rnacentral:tRNA from 1 species
UCUCGCCCUCGGCCAAGAGGAUGGCCUCGCGCUUCUCGCGCUCGGCCUUCAUCUGCUUCUCCAUGGCCUGCUGGAUGGCGGCCGGCGGCGUGAU